rnacentral:rRNA from 1 species
AUUGAACGCUGGCGGCAUGCCUUACACAUGCAAGUCGAACGGUAACGGGCCUUCGGGUGCCGACGAGUGGCGAACGGGUGAGUAAUACAUCGGAACGUGCCCGAUCGGGGGGGAUAACGAGGCGAAAGCUUUGCUAAUACCGCAUACGAUCUACGGAUGAUAGCAGGGGACCGCAAGGCCUUGCGCGGACGGAGCGGCCGAUGGCAGAUUAGGUAGUUGGUGGGAUAAAAGCUUACCAAGCCGACGAUCUGUAGCUGGUCUGAGAGGAUGAUCAGCCACACUGGGACUGAGACACGGCCCAGACUCCUACGGGAGGCAGCAGUGGGGAAUUUUGGACAAUGGGCGCAAGCCUGAUCCAGCCAUGCCGCGUGCAGGAUGAAGGCCUUCGGGUUGUAAACUGCUUUUGUACGGAACGAAAAGCCUUCUUUUAAUACAGGAGGGUCAUGACGGUACCGUAAGAAUAAGCACCGGCUAACUACGUG